rnacentral:rRNA from 1 species
UACGUAGGUGACCAGCGUUGUCCGGAUUUACUGGGCGUAAAGAGCGCGCAGGCGGUCGUUCAAGUCGAGUGUGAAAGCCCCCGGCUCAACUGGGGAGGGUCACUCGAUACUGAUCGACUUGAAGGCAGGAGAGGGAAGCGGAAUUCCCGGUGUAGUGGUGAAAUGCGUAGAUAUCGGGAGGAACACCAGUGGCGAAGGCGGCUUCCUGGCCUGUUCUUGACGCUGAGGCGCGAAAGCUAGGGAGCAAACGGG